ACAAAGGUAUAUACAAAGAUACACACAAGAGAAGGGGGAAGUGCUACACACUUUUAAACAACCAGUGAGAACUCAGUAUCACAAGAACAGCAAGGGGGAAGUCCAUCCCCAUGAUCCAAUCACCUCCCACCAGGCUCCUCCUCCAAACCCACACAUUUGGUCACAGAAGACUUCUGUGUUGACAACUGCUGUGGUGUGAGAGUAGAGGAAAAACA
rnacentral:lncRNA from 1 species